rnacentral:rRNA from 1 species
CACUCCUACGGGAGGCAGCAGUGGGGAAUCUUGCGCAAUGGGCGAAAGCCUGACGCAGCCAUGCCGCGUGAAUGAUGAAGGUCUUAGGAUUGUAAAAUUCUUUCACCGGGGACGAUAAUGACGGUACCCGGAGAAGAAGCCCCGGCUAACUUCGUGCCAGCAGCCGCGGUAAUACGAAGGGGGCUAGCGUUGCUCGGAAUUACUGGGCGUAAAGGGAGCGUAGGCGGACAUUUAAGUCAGGGGUGAAAUCCCGGGGCUCAACCUCGGAAUUGCCUUUGAUACUGGGUGUCUUGAGUAUGAGAGAGGUGUGUGGAACUCCGAGUGUAGAGGUGAAAUUCGUAGAUAUUCGGAAGAACACCAGUGGCGAAGGCGACACACUGGCUCAUUACUGACGCUGAGGCUCGAAAGCGUGGGGAGCAAACAGGAUUAGAUACCCGAGUAGUCCCA